UGAACGCUGGCGGCGUGCUUAGCACAUGCACGUCGAACGCCGCACUUUAUUUGAUUUCCUUCGGGACUGAUUAUUUUGUGACUGAGUGGCGGACGGGUGAGUAACGCGUGGGUAACCUGCCUUGUACAGGGGGAUAACAGUUGGAAACGGCUGCUAAUACCGCAUAAGCGCACAGCAUCGCAUGAUGCAGUGUGAAAAACUCCGGUGGUAUAAGAUGGACCCGCGUUGGAUUAGCUAGUUGGUGAGGUAGCGGCCCACCAAGGCGACGAUCCAUAGCCGACCUGAGAGGGUGACCGGCCACAUUGGGACUGAGACACGGCCCAAACUCCUACGGGAGGCAGCAGUGGGGAAUAUUGCACAAUGGGCGAAAGCCUGAUGCAGCGACGCCGCGUGAGCGAAGAAGUAUUUCGGUAUGUAAAGCUCUAUCAGCAGGGAAGAUAAUGACGGGACCUGACUAAGAAGCACCGGCUAAAUACGU
rnacentral:rRNA from 1 species